rnacentral:lncRNA from 1 species
GUCACUUGGAGUUUUUGUAUAUUUUUGAAAGAAAGUUAGCAUACCUUUUUAUCCUCAUAGGUUCUCUCAGAUCACUCAUUAUCUUUUAUAUAUAUAUCUCACUGAGGUUGUUUUAAUUUGCAAAAAUUCUCAAGCAUACUUACUUUGCAUUUAUUGCCUGAUCAAAACGGGAUCCGAGGAGAGGAAUGUCAUACUCUUAGAUCAAAGACUUUGGAAAUUAAAAUCUUUGUCAACUCUUGCUGGCAUAUUGCUUAUUAGAGGGACCAUGGGCU